ensembl:antisense Gm19461 predicted gene, 19461
ACAACACAGGGUGGCCAUCCUUGAAAAUGACCAAGAAACAUGCUGGGUGCGGGAGCAAGGAAACCAAAGACAGACCAGGGCACAGUAAUGGAGAUGAGGCAGGAGAUGAGGAGGGGCUGGGGAAGGCGCACAAAGCAUCAAGACCCAACAACCCUUCCCUCCACCCCAUUAGGGCAUUUCUGCGGUCCAAGAUGGCCACAGCUCUGGUGCACCUGGGACCACACAGUUAAAACCUGAGUCUUCAGAGCCCUGAGCAAGCACACAUGGACACAAGCAUGCUCACUAGCAUACACGUCCCCCCCCCCCGCCCCCCCAGGGUAACUGUCCAGGGCUUCCGCUGGGAUAGACUUUGGAAACCUGAAGAAUACACUUCACUCUUUCGACCCCACUG